rnacentral:lncRNA from 1 species
CGUCGAAUUCCUCGUAGUCACCACACCUUUCUGAUUCCUGAACCUGGAGGGGCGCAAAACCAAAAUUGAGUGGGUCAGUAAAACAAUUCUUUUCCAAAUCCAAACAUUUCUCAAAACGUUGUAACCCCUCUCCGUAAAACUUGUAUACUUUCCCAGAAAUGUAAAAUAUAAAUAUACAUAUAUAUUCUCAAAACUUUAUUUUUACUAUCUCAACAUUUUUCUUUAUCAAUCAUGCCAUGCCAUGUCUAAUUCAACAGUUAAGUAUGGAUGCAUCAAUAAUAAUCAUAUCAGGUGCAAGAAAGUAAUCAACCGGAGGCCCUCUAAUAGCCCUGUACGGUUGAACCUAGAGCUCAAAAUCUAUCACUCUCACUCUGCCGGAGUCACCAACUGUGACCUGUACGGCCUAUUGCCGGAGUCACUAGCUGUAACUUGUACGGCCUUCUGCACAUAAGUCGGAACCACCUAAUGUAGUCUGUACGACUUAAUGGUUAAUAUUACGCUCUAGUGCUUUCUCAUCAAUCAUCUGUGCACAUAAUCUAAGGUCACCCACCAGUCGAAAUCUCACUAACACUCUACGACUGGCCCGUCGCACCCACUCCGCGUGGACUGUGCGACCAGCAUCUACUUAGAUCCAAGGCGAGCGUGCGAUGCGGUGAAUACUAUAAGCACUAAACCAUGGUGCAGGAUUUGAGCUCAAUAUAUAUCAACAUCAUCAUAACAGUAUUUAAAUACUCACCUGAUACUCACCUGUGCGUCCGCCGCACCAAUUCAUACAUAUGCAUCAUAUAUCAAUUCAUA